rnacentral:rRNA from 1 species
CCUACGGGUGGCAGCAGUGAGGAAUAUUGGUCAAUGGGCGUAAGCCUGAACCAGCCAAGUCGCGUGAAGGAAGAAUGACCUACGGGUUGUAAACUUCUUUUAUAGGGGAAUAAAGGUAUCCACGUGUGGCUUUUUGCAUGUACCCUAUGAAUAAGGAUCGGCGAACUCCGUGCCAGCAGCCGCGGUAAUACGGAGGUGGGUAGCGUUAUCCGGAAUUAUUGGGCGUAAAGGGUGCGUAGGUUGUUUUGUAAGUCAGGGGUGAAAGUUUGUGGCUCAACCCGGAGAAUGCCUUUGAAACUGGGGGACUUGAGUGUAGGAGGGGUAGGCGGAAUGCGUGGUGUAGCGGUGAAAUGCGUAGAUAUCAGGAGGAACACCGGUUGCGAAGGCGGCUUUCUGGACCGUAACUGACACUGAGGCACGAAAGCGUGGGGAGCAAACAGGAUUAGAUACCCGAGUAGUC